rnacentral:rRNA from 1 species
UGGGGAAUAUUGCGCAAUGGGCGAAAGCCUGACGCAGCAACGCCGUGUGAGGGAUGAAGGCUUUCGGGUCGUAAACCUCUGUCAGAAGGGAAGAACGGGCAUUGGUCUAAUAGGCCUUUGUUUUGACGGUACCUUCAGAGGAAGCACCGGCUAACUCCGUGCCAGCAGCCGCGGUAAUACGGAGGGUGCAAGCGUUAUUCGGAAUUACUGGGCGUAAAGCGCACGUAGGCCGCUUUGUAAGUCAGGGGUGAAAUCCCACGGCUCAACCGUGGAACUGCCCUUGAAACUGCGAAGCUUGAAUCCUGGAGAGGGUGGCGGAAUUCCUGAUGUAGGAGUGAGAUCCGUAGAUAUCAGGAGGAACACCGGUGGCGAAGGCGGCCACCUGACAGGUAUUGACGCUGAGGUGCGAAAGUGUGGGGAGCAAACAG